rnacentral:rRNA from 1 species
GGCAGUUCCGAUAGGCAAAUCCGUCGGAAUAAUGCUGGGGUACGAUGCGGAGCGAAAUUUAGUAGCGAAGUAGCUGAUUUCACACUGUCGAGAAAAGUCUCUAUCGAGGUUAAAGGUGCCUGUACCGCAAACCGACACAGGUGGGUGAGGAGAGUAUCCUAAGGCCAGCGAGAGAACUGUUGUUAAGGAACUCGGCAAAAUGACCCCGUAACAUCGGGAGAAGGGGUGCCUUCGAAAGAAGGCCGCAGAGAAUAGGCCCAAGCGACUGUUUACCAAAAACAUAGGUUUCUGCUAAGUCGCAAGACGAUGUAUAGGAGCUGACGCCUGCCCGGUGCUGGAAGGUUAAGGGGAUCUGUUAGAGCAAUCGAAGCAGUGAACUUAAGCCCCAGUAAACGGCGGCCGUAACAAUAACGGUCCUAAGGUAGCGAAAUUCCUUGUCGGGUAAGUUCCGACCCGCACGAAAGGCGUAACGAUUUGGGCACUGUCUCAACAACAGACUCGGUGAAAUUGUAAUACCGGUGAAGAUGCCGGUUACCUGCGACAGGACGGAAAGACCCCAUGGAGCUUUACUGUAGCUUGACAUUGAGUCUCGGUGCUACAUGUACAGGAUAGGUGGGAGACUAUGAAGCAUGGACGUCAGUCUGUGUGGAGUCAUCCUUGGGAUACCACCCUUGUAGUACUGGGAUUCUAACCAGAGGCCAUGAAUCUGGUCUUGGGACACUGUCAGGUGGACAGUUUGACUGGGGCGGUCGCCUCCCAAAAAGUAACGGAGGCGCUCAAAGGUUCUCUCAGUACGGUCGGAAAUCGUACGAAGAGUGUAAAGGCAAAAGAGAGCUUGAUUGCAAGACAUACAGGUCGAGCAAGGACGAAAGUCGGACUUAGUGAUCCGGUGGUUCCGCAUGGAAGGGCCAUCGCUCAACGGGUAAAAGCUACCCUGGGGAUAACAGGCUGAUCUCCCCCAAGAGUCCACAUCGACGGGGAGGUUUGGCACCUCGAUGUCGGCUCAUCACAUCCUGGGGCUGUAGUAGGUCCCAAGGGUUGGGCUGUUCGCCCAUUAAAGUGGUACGCGAGCUGGGUUCAGAACGUCGUGAGACAGUUCGGUCCCUAUCCGUCGCAGGCGUAGGAAAUUUGAGGAGACCUGUCCUUAGUACGAGAGGACCGGGAUGGACGUACCGCUGGUGUACCAGUUGUUCUGCCAAGGGCAUGGCUGGGUAGCUAAGUACGGAAAGGAUAAGCGCUGAAAGCAUCUAAGCGCGAUGCCCACUUCAAGAUAAGAUUUCCCACCGCAAGGUUAAGAUCCCAGGAAGACUACCUGGUUGAUAGGUCAGAGGUGUAAGUGCAGUAAUGUAUUUAGCUUACUGAUACUAAUAGAUCGAGGACUUGACC